rnacentral:rRNA from 1 species
AUCAGGAAUCUUGCGCAAUGGGCGAAAGCCUGACGCAGCGACGCCGCGUGGACGAUGAAGUCUUUCGGGAUGUAAAGUCCUUUUAGACGGGAAGAUAAUGACGGUACCGUCUGAAUAAGCCCCGGCUAACUACGUGCCAGCAGCCGCGGUAAUACGUAGGGGGCGAGCGUUGUCCGGAAUUACUGGGCGUAAAGGGCGCGCAGGCGGUUCGCUAAGUCCGCUGUGAAAGACCGGGGCUCAACCCCGGGGUGUCAGCGGAGACUGGUGAACUGGAGUGCUGGAGAGGGAUGCGGAAUACCUGGUGUAGCGGUGGAAUGCGUAGAGAUCAGGUGGAACACCGAUGGCGAAGGCAGCAUCCUGGCCAGAGACUGACGCUGAGGCGCGAAAGCUGGGGGAGCGAACGG